CCUACGGGUGGCAGCAGUGAGGAAUAUUGGUCAAUGGCCGGAAGGCUGAACCAGCCAUGCCGCGUGAAGGUCAGUGCCCUAUGGGCGUUAAACUUCUUUUGUGCGGGAGCAAUAAUGGUCACGUGUGGCCAGACGAGAGUACCGUACGAAUAAGCAUCGGCUAACUCCGUGCCAGCAGCCGCGGUAAUACGGGGGAUGCAAGCGUUAUCCGGAUUUAUUGGGUUUAAAGGGUGCGUAGGCUGUGAGGUAAGUCAGCGGUGAAAUGCCCCCGCUCAACGGGGUGAAGUGCCAUUGAUACUGCCUGGCUGGAAUGCGGAUGCGGUGGGAGGAAUGUGUGGUGUAGCGGUGAAAUGCAGAGAUAUCACACAGAACACCGAUUGCGAAGGCAUCUCACGAAUCCGCGAUUGACGCUGAUGCACGAAAGCGUGGGUAUCAAACAGGAUUAGAUACCCGAGUAGUC
rnacentral:rRNA from 1 species